rnacentral:rRNA from 1 species
CCUACGGGUGGCAGCAGUGAGGAAUAUUGGUCAAUGGGCGCGAGCCUGAACCAGCCAAGUCGCGUGAGGGAAGACGGUCCUAUGGAUUGUAAACCUCUUUUGUCGGGGAGCAAAAGACGCCACGUGUGCCGUUCUGAGUGUACCUGAAGAAAAAGCAUCGGCUAACUCCGUGCCAGCAGCCGCGGUAAUACGGAGGUUGCAAGCGUUAUCCGGAUUUAUUGGGUUUAAAGGGAGCGUAGAGCGGUUGUUAAGUCAGUUGUGAAAGUUUGCGGCUCAACCCUAAAUGUGCAUUUGAUAUUGGGAGCCUUGAGUACAGUAGAGGUAGGCGGAAUGCGUGGUGUAGCGGUGAAAUGCUUAGAUAUCACGAAGAACUCCGAUUGCGAAGGCAGCCUACUAGACUGCCACUGACACUGAUGCACGAAAGUGUGGGUAUCGAACAGGAUUAGAUACCCUUGUAGUC